rnacentral:rRNA from 1 species
CAGUAGCCACGGUAAUACGAAGGGGGCUAGCGUUGCUCGGAAUCACUGGGCGUAAAGGGUGCGUAGGCGGGUCUUUAAGUCAGGGGUGAAAUCCUGGAGCUCAACUCCAGAACUGCCUUUGAUACUGAAGACCUUGAGUUCGGGAGAGGUGAGUGGAACUGCGAGUGUAGAGGUGAAAUUCGUAGAUAUUCGCAAGAACACCAGUGGCGAAGGCGGCUCACUGGCCCGAUACUGACGCUGAGGCACGAAAGCGUGGGGAGCAAACAGGAUUAGAUACCCCGGUAGUCCCUGUCUCUUAUAC